AACCCAUGAUUGGGGCAUUUCCUCAACAAUAAUUGGAAACGCUCCCAUGCCUCAUAAAAAGCUUCCUCUGCACCUUGUCUGAAUGUAGAUAUUUCAAACUUCGCGU
rfam:Lupinus angustifolius cultivar Tanjil chromosome LG09, whole genome shotgun sequence.